UAUCUUGAGGGGGUAGUGACCGUAGGUCGUGCGAGUUCAAGUCUCGCCCGGAGCACCAAUUUCUAAAAGAUCGCGGUUUUGCGGUC
rnacentral:tRNA from 1 species